rnacentral:rRNA from 1 species
UACGUAGGUGGCAAGCGUUUGUCCGGAAUUAUUGGGCGUAAAGCGCGCGCAGGCGGUCCUUUAAGUCUGAUGUGAAAACCCACGGCUCAACCGUGGAGGGUCAUUGGAAACUGGGGGGACUUGAGUACAGAAGAGAAGAGUGGAAUUCCACGUGUAGCGGUGAAAUGCGUAGAGAUGUGGAGGAACACCAGUGGCGAAGGCGACUCUUUGGUCUGUAACUGACGCUGAGGCGCGAAAGCGUGGGGAGCAAACAGG